GCAUUUUCUGAGAGCAAAGCCCACAGCCAACCAAGCGUUGGGCCACAGCUCGAGCCCACCCGCCCCACUCCUCAGCGCCUUCGCCGUCAACCCAAAACCUCGCUCUCCUCGUCGAGUCGAACCGCGCAUGAAACCCUAGGGUCCCCGCCUCCCUCCGCAAUCCGCCAUUGCCCACCCCGAUGCAGGCGUCCUUGCGCCUCUCCUCCCACGCCGCCACCAAGAGGGUGGUCGCGGGCGUCUCUAGCAAGAUCACGCGUUCGUGCUACCGGACCUCCCGGGGAAAGGCACAUGCGGCGCCGCUGUCUGCUCAGGAGCCGCCACCGAAGGGGCAGAAGAGAGUUACAAAACAGGAGAGGAGGAUUAGGAUAGAGGAAUUUGUUGAGAAGUAUAAGGCAUCAAAUGAAGGUAAGUUCCCCACCAUAACAAAUGUUCGCCAGCACGUUGGAGGUAGCCACUACACGGUGCGAGAGAUAGUUCAGGAAUUGGAGUAUAAUAAUGCAAAAUCGCCACUGGUUAAUAUUAAGGCAGCUCAAGUUCAAGGCUCAGCUGAAUUUGCUGAGCAUGCAAGGCCUAAGGAUGACAAUGGAAAGAAUCCAUCCAACUGUGAAGCCUUCAAAAGCACUGUAGAUGGUGAACUAAUCUCACAGGAAGAUGCUACUACCAGCACUGAAAUCAUUGAAAAGGCUGAAACUUGGAGAUCUGUGGGCUCUUCUCAUUCCAAUGCUGAAACAGAACCUGCCAAGCAAGAUUUGAACACUUCAGAAACCAUUAAGAAUGCAAAUGGCCCAACUUUAUUCAAUCAAACAGAAAGUGACAGCAUGCAGGUCCUAACGAACGAACCUUCCUUAUCUUUGGGAGUGGAGGCUAAAUCAGACUCUGGGAACCAGCAAGGGGAAACAGAUGCUAACAAAUUAGAUUUGGACGAUACAGAAAAUUUCAUGAAUGCACGGGAAUCAACUGUAUCAGAUCAAAGUGGAAGUGACAAUGUGAUCAAGUCAAACAUGCGUGACCGGUUUGUCAGGGAGCACCACAGCCUGAAACUGCCUGGAACUUCCAACGCUGGUGGCCAGGAACUUGGUUUAGGAUAGCUUUAAGAACUUUGGUUCAGAAUGCAUAGCUAAUUUUAUAUGUUGAGCUGCUCUAGUGUCUAUGCAAGCUAACAUCCUUAGAUCCAUCAGCGAAAUUGCCGAGCAGGGCUACUUCAUAGUUCAGACAGGACACGAGAACACGGCCCUAAGCAUGAGCUUGAAGAAUCAACGAACACAGGUCUUUUAGGGAGUUUGAAAUCUUUUGCUUAUGGGAUCAGGAACUUCUGGAAAAAACUGUAAAUCUGUCUUUGUUUGGGUGCAAUCUAACAGAGUCCCCUUUGUGGCGUCAUCAAUUUCUGAGUCUGGAGCAAAUUGUAAAGUUUUCUGGAGGCUACAGAUCUACUGACCUGUUCCCCUUGUUUGGCGUUUGUGAUACUGGAGUAAUUUGUAAAUUUUUCUUUUUAUGCCGAACAGAAUUAGUGGUCUAAUUCCCGAUGUGAUGUUUUGACAAAGCUACAUAUGAGCAUAUUUCACAAGUUCACCUGGUAUCCAAGUGCUGGUCAUAGCUGCAUCGCUGUGAUGCUUAUUGAA